GUUUGCUAUAAUAAAAUCUAUCUUCUUAUUGAUAGCCAAUAAGAAGCCAUCUCCUUUGUGUUGUUUAUAGUAACAAACAAAACAAUUUUUGCUCGAGUAUAUUUUUAGUACCUAGUCCUUACUAAUUAUGUACAAUUAAUUCAUUUCCCGUAAAAACCAAGUAAUGAUGAAUGUGUCUCCUCACUUCAAUUACUUGGUUUUU
rnacentral:sRNA from 23 species